UAGAGAAGAUCGGUAGGUGUGAUUGGAAACCCUGGCUUUAGGCAGUCUCCUGGAAAUACAGCCUGUUCUUGAUAGAAGACAAGAGGAGUGAGCCCCAGCAGUAUUGAGAAGGAACAAGACAAUGUAUUGCUGUAUAUUGGGAAGACACAAGACUAUAGGUUGCCAAAACAUAUGCUAUAUAUAAUCCUAUUAGUAUCCUAUCACCUAAAACUUUUCAAAAUUGGCCAAAUUAUAUUGACAUUUUUCUUCAUUAUACAUUGAGUGGC
rnacentral:lncRNA from 10 species